AUAGAUAGCGUGGGUGUGUGACC
rnacentral:miRNA from 1 species